GGUGUCGCCCAAUGGUUAAGGCAACGGACUUUGACUCCGUCAUCGCUGGUUCGAUUCCAGCCAC
rnacentral:tRNA from 1 species